CUUCUGAGAGCUGGGCUGCGACACCACAUAUUUGCUCACACAUUGCCUUUUACACACUACAGCACAGUAUUAGUAACAGGUAACAGAGAGAGACAGCGACAGAACCCAGGCCAGGCAGAGAGGAGAAAAGUGUGACCGGCAUCUUCAGAAGACCCACUGGAGAGCCCUGAGCCUGAGCCAGAGCUGAGUGAGUGAAGCCUGACUGAUGGACCCGUGAAGUCUCAUCUCAGGUCGCCUAAAUCGUCUCCAUUCGUCAGGAACCUUGACAUUCCCUCCACAGGAAAGGAGAGCAAACAGUACUUACAGCACAGAGAGAAGCCGCUGUCCUCCUUAGCGCUGUGUGAGACCCAAUCUCCAUCCACUUUCCCAUUGUUCCAUUUAUCCUCAACACCUUCUUUUUCUGCCAGCUCCACACUUUUACUGAGUUUAAAUAGGCCAUAUAGAAAGCUGAUAUAUUUUUAGAGGGUUACUGAAACACAAGGCUCUGUCUGGCAC
rnacentral:lncRNA from 1 species